ACUUGACAAAAGGAGUAUGUAUUCCCGUGUGCCAGAGUGCCAGGUCACCACAUACAAUUAUGUUGGGUUUGCAUAUUUGAUGAUGUGUCGCUACCAGGAUGCCAUCUGGGUCUUCGCCAACAUCCUCCUCUAGAUCCAGAGGACCAAGAGCAUGUUUCAGAGGACCACAUACAAGUAUGAGAUGAUUAACAAGCAGAAUGAGCAGAUGCAUGCGCUACUGGCCAUUGCUCUCACGAUGUACCCCAUAGGUAUCGAUGAGAGUAUUCACCCCCAGCUACAGAAGAAAUAUGGGGACAAGAUGCUGCACCUGCAGAAAGGUGACCCACAAGUCUAUGAAGAACUUUUCAGUUACUCCUGCCCCAAGUUCCUGUCACCUGUAUUGCCCAACUACGAUAAUGUGCACCCCAGCUACCACAAAGAGCCCUUCCUGCAGCAGUUGAAGGUGUUUUCUGAAGUACAGCAGCAGGCCCACCUUUCAACCAUCCCCGGCUUCCUCAAGCUUUACAUCACCAUGCCUGUGGCCAAGCUGGCUGGCUUCCUGGACCUCACAGAGCAGGAGUUCAGGAUCCAGCUUCCUGUCUUCAAACACAAGAUGAAGAACCUGGUGUGGACCAGCGGCAUCACAACCCUGGAUGGUGAAUUUAGUCAGCCUCAGAGGUUAACUUCUACAUUGAUAAUGACAUGAUCCGCAUCGCAGACACCAAGGUCGCCAGGUGCUAUGGGGAUUUCUUCAUCCAUCAGAGCCACAAAUUCGAAGAGCUUAAUCGAACUCUGAAGAAGAUGGGACAGAGACCCUGACAACAUUUACACACAUUAUUCAGGAACCUGUUUUGAUAUAUUAUAGGCAGGAAGUGUUUUUGCUACCAUGAAACCUUUACCUAGAUCAGCCAUCAGCCUGUCAACUCAGUUAACAAGUUAAGGACCAAAGUGUUUCAAGUGGAUAUCAGUAAAGGAUCUUUGGAGCCAG